rnacentral:rRNA from 1 species
UAUCUCUGUAGAGUCUGCAUAUCAAUAAGCGGAGGAAAAGAAACUAACAAGGAUUCCCCUAGUAACGGCGAGUGAAGCAGGAAGAGCUCAAAUUUGAAAUCUUAAAGGGUUUCCCUUUACGAAUUGUAGUUUAAAGAAGUGUUUUCUGUUGAGGUUUUGGUAAAAGUUCUUUGGAAUAGGACAUCAUAGAGGGUGAGAAUCCCGUAUUUGACCUUUACUUUCAACUUUGUGAUACACUUUCAAAGAGUCGGAUUGUUUGGGAAUGCAGUCCAAAAUGGGUGGUAAAUUUCAUCUAAAGCUAAAUAUUGGCGAGAGACCGAUAGCGAACAAGUACCGUGAGGGAAAGAUGAAAAGAACCUUGAAAAGAGAGUUAAACAGUACGUGAAAUUGUCAAAAGGGAAGCGUUUGACACCAGUGUUGUUUUUCUGAAAAUCAAUUAAAGAACUGUUUAUGCUAAGUUGUUUAGACUUUAUCAGCUAACUGUUUAGUUUUGAGCUUUUCUUUAAUGCACUUUUCAGUUAACAAGUCAACAUCAAUUUCUUUUGCUGUAAAAAAGCUUGAGGAAGGUGGCUUGAGAUUCGUCUUAAGUGUUUAUAGCCUCUUGCCUAUGCAGUCGGAGAGAUUGAGGUCUGCAGCGUAGAUCCUUCGGGGCUAAAUGCAUUUGUGCUAAGUUAUAGCAUUUUAUAGACAACUUGUUGACUAUGAUUUGUCUUGUAGCUUACUCGCUUAUGUUAUUUAUACCUACGCUUAGGAUGUUGACGAUCAGCUGAGCGCG